GACGAACGCUGGCGGCGUGCUUAACACAUGCAAGUCGUACGGUAAGGCCCUUUCGGGGGUACACGAGUGGCGCACGGGUGAGUAACACGUGAGUAACCUGCCCACAACUUUGGGAUAACGCUAGGAAACUGGUGCUAAUACUGGAUAUGUGCUCCUGCUGCAUGGUGGGGGUUGGAAAGCUCCGGCGGUUGUGGAUGGACUCGCGGCCUAUCAGCUUGUUGGUGGGGUAGUGGCCUACCAAGGCGGCGACGGGUAGCCGGCCUGAGAGGGUGACCGGCCACAGUGGGACUGAGAGACGGCCCCGACUCCUACGGGAGGGAGCAGGGGGGAAUGGUGCAACAGGGGCGCAAGCCUGAUGCAGCAACGCCGCGGGCGGGAUGACGGCCUUCGGGUUGUAAACCGCUUUCAGCAGGGACGAAGCUUUUUGUGACGGUACCUGCAGAAGAAGCACCGGCUAACUACGUG
rnacentral:rRNA from 1 species